rnacentral:lncRNA from 1 species
UAAAUCUACAACAUAGGCAUUUGAUGACCAUGAAUGCGCUAGGAGGUGACCGUACAAGGAAAGUGAACAAAUGACAUUCCAUAAAACUAAUCACUAUACUAAUCUUGGCAAAGCUUCUCAGCGAAACACGUCGAAAUAGUAAUAGUGUGACAUCCUUACAAAGUGCUAAUUUUCUUAGUUACAUAUAUGUAAGUGACAUUGGCAAUACAAUUAAAGGAUGAAGUAUCUUAUGCAACUAAAGUAGAUGUGGAAAGCUGCAAUGCUCUCAGAUGAUUGAUGAGCUCCUUCAACAGUUGGUGCAUUUGAUACUCCCAAUGCUUGUGCCUUGUAUAUUUGUAGAGGAAAAAAGAUCAGUGGAAGUACUACACAUACAGACCCAAAAUGCAACCGUGACCUUUCUGUUCAGAUCAAUACAAAUGAAAAUUUUGUAUAAAUAACCGUGCAAGACAAUACAGAUACUAUUUGGUGAGAAAUGUGGCCCCAUUUGGUUAUGUACAUUACAAACUUAACUAUAUACAAACUACGCAAAGAUGAGCGCACAUUAUUCUUACCAAGGAAGAAGCUACAGAAUGAAUGUCAACUUUAGUUGGUUCAGUAUAUGUACAGAAAUCACCGGCACGGUCGCAGCAGCAUCGGUCUUGAGUAAAGAAUAAUAUAAAUAUUUAAGAAAAAUAAACCCAGUGAUGCUCAACCGAUUUGUGGAUGCAUUUAUUUGGCUCACAUCUAGUAACUACUAUUAUUAGCAUAUACUAUCUCCAUUGCUAAGUAUAUGACGUUUUGGCAGUUUAAAUUAAACUGCCCAAAUGUCUUAUAUUUAGGAGUUGAGGUAGUACAUAGUUAGACAUGGUAAAUAAUAAUGAAGCCAUUUGUUGUUACUCAUAUAAUUGGAAUCACAUUUAAUAAUAGUUCUUUGCUUGAGCAAAGGUUAAAUGCAAAUUAUAUAAAAAAUUCUUAACAACCUUCAUCAUCUGUGCUGGUUCCACAACAUUUUACAAACACCUAUCUAAUUUCUUCAAAUACGACUAAGAUAAUCAACUUAGAAGUGAGGCUGUGAUAGGCAUGGUUCACCUCGAUCGUCCAACAUGAGGAAGCCAGGAAGGCGACCACAAUCUGGUUGCAGGCUCAUAGUGAAGCACCAGUCACCAUGGUGAGUUGUAGCACAAGAGCAGCUGCAGUUACCUAUCCACACAAAUUUCAUACUAUAUAUUGAAUUAAUCACAGAAAGUUAUUUUAAUCGUCCUGGCCCAACAGAAAUUCAUCUAGUUUACGUGUCAAAAUGGCACACGGCAUAUGGCAGAAGACACUAUGUUACAUGGCAAUAUGUGGAUCAUCAUCUCCCUCACAUUUGUUUGUAACACUGAAAAACAAAUAUAUAUGAUUAGCAGUGAGCCAAUGACAAGAAAUUUAUACACGCCUAAUAAUUUUAGGUGGUCAUAAGCGCAAUAACUAAAGAUAUGUAAUGUAUGUGUGCCACUGGAGAAAACACAUCCUUACAUGCACGGUUAGUACACACAUUAUAAGGCAAAGAUAUACUUGUGCACUUAAAUUAUUGUUGUGCUCUUAUCUUAGAAAACCAUGUGGUUCUGUCAAACUUUCUAUAUGCUCAUAGUGAAUUUGCAAAGAUAAUCCUCACUGAAUUUUGUGUUUUUUUCCUUUAUCAAUAAAUGUCUUAUAUUAGUCUGCAGACAGUUGUGCUUUGCCAAAUAUAUUACCAGCAAAAAGACAAUACAUAGUUCCAAAGUAGACAUUCAUUAAUGCAUUUCUCUGCGUUAGCACUUGAACAGGGAGGAAUAUGCACAAACACAUACCCUCGCCGAGAUAGGACAUGUGUAUUAGCUUCAGGUCUAGUUAGGCCGACCAUUCACUGAACAAACACUAACCAUGUAAUACCUAUAUAUAUAAUAAAACGAAAUAUGAGCUAUAGAAUAUCAGAAGAGCUUCUGUAACCUACAGUUUCAGGGCAAAAAAUGGCAUGUACCAAUCUGAAAAGGUAUUAUUCAUAAGCUACGCUAUGACACACUUGUUCGAACUUAGGCUACAUUUCAUCAGUAUGCAAAUGCUAUGUUUGGAGAUGGUAUUAUUAUUAGCAAGCAUGUAAUAUAGUCAUAAUAGAUAUAAUCAGUUGUACUACGACCUUACAUAAAUAACAAUAGUCAAUAUACAUUUCAUUUUCUUAAGUAUGUAGAUGAUUGUCUAGCAAAUAGCAAACCUACAAUAGGAGUCCAUAGAAUAUGCAGGGAAGCAUUCUAAAAAUAACUUGGGUGCGAGCAACACUAGCCUCUUCAAACUUUCUUGAGUGAAAUUAUUCAUAAUGUAAUGAAGGCACUAUAAUACCGCACAAAAAAUCUUACACAAGAUUAAAGGAAAAUUUGGGUGAGAGGCUGAUAAAUGAAACGUCUUAAAUUUGAUUGCAUGGUAAUUUUACCAUUCAAUUUUCACAAACAGUAAUGUUUUACUUAUACAUAUCUAACAUGGCCAGGAUCAAAUAUGCCAAAAGCAACACCCACUGCCUUGUGAGUGACCUGCAAAGUGGUGCAGAAGUACUCCACUGUCUAUAAGCACAAGAAGUGCCAAAAGCAACAUCCACUGUCUAUAAGCAGGUUUGUCUAUUAGGAAUAUAUGGCAUUAACUGUAGUUACCGUUAACUUGGCCUUAUAGACAAACCUGCUUAUAAUCUCCUAAAGAAAAUCAUUGUUUUGUGUUUGUAGUGGUGCCUCGGAUUUCACUGACAUAUAUCAGCAACCCAAGAAGUCAACACUUUCAGAAAGUACAACUUUGAAAGUUACGAUCCUAACCCGCAGAUUGAUAGUACAAUGUAAAUAGCUACUGUGCAUGUAACAACUUCAAUCGUAUACAUGGAACCCAGAAUUUACCUUCUAUGUGUCAUGUUAACUAAUGGAAAUAGGAGAAGGAUAAAUUCAGGGAAGAUCAAUACAAAUGCGGCCAAAUCCUAUCAACCAGUG